rnacentral:misc_RNA from 1 species
AGGGAGGCACCGCCUGGUCCA